GGAGUAAAGGUUGCUUUUGAUAGAAGUUUGGCAGAGUAAUGGUUCAAGGGAGAUGUGUAGCCGAGUAAGUUUUUUAGUUUCUGUUUCUGUUUUUCUUUUGGUUCUUAGAUUUAGAAGAUUUGAACAUAUUUGCCUGCUGACAUGAAAAGGCUAUGUCAGAAAAGUGGACAACUUUUGGAGCAGACAAGGAGUGAAGUAGGGGCUUUGAAAGGAGGGUUAACUGUCUGAGAUAGGUGAUGUAAUGAAGGAAGAAAGGAACUGAUGAGGGAAGGAUCACUGGUUGGCAUUCCCAAUCCAGAUGGAUUCUCCCUUCUGUUCCUAGAUACCAGAGUUGUCAUCAGCUGUUAUGGGGAAAGACAGUUCCUAAAUUCAGAUCUUGAAGGAGAAAAUCGUUUUACUUCACCUUUAGUAAGGAUUUCAUUUGUAAAUGUUCCCGUCAAUUGAAACAUACUGAGGAAGACAAUGACUGAACACUGCCGCAAAGCAAUGUGGCAGAAGGAAAUUAGGCAGUGGCAGAGGCUGGAAAUGCUGAGAUUUGCCAUCUAUGUAGACACAUAUGUUUCGAGAUCAUAAAUCUCUCUCUCAAUUUCGUCACUGGAUAAAGGUCACCCACUUUUACAUAUUCCACCCAGCCCUCUUUCCAUUUAAAAGGAUGCAGCUCAAUCCCAAAAUGAAUGAAAAUGUCUUGAAAUAUGACUAAACUAAAUUUCACAAAAGAAAGUAAAUGCAAAAUCAUAAAACCCACUAAGAAAGAGAGAGAGAUCAGGCUGGGCGUGGUGGCUCACACCUGUAAUCCUAGCACUUUGGGAGGCCGAGGCAGGCAGAUCACAAGGUCAGGAGAUUGAGACCAUUCUGGCCAACAUGGUGAAACCCCGUCUCUACUAAAAACCCAAAAAUUAGCCGGGCGUGGUGGCAUGCACCUGUAGUCCCAGCUACUCGGGAGGCUGAGGCAGGAGAAUGGCGUGAACCCAGGAGGCAGAGUUUGCAGUGAGCCGAGAUCGCGCCACUGCACUCCAGCCUGGGCGACAGAGCGAUACUCCCUCUCAAAAAAAAAAGAAAAAAGAAAUUUUAUAGAAGUGACUUUAUUUUUAAUGUACAGUUUUGCCUUUAUUUCCUAUAUUGUUUACUUGGCAUUUAACUUGUGCUGGCC
ensembl:lincRNA